ACCGUAUAUACAGCAUGCCAGCAAACUCCUCACUCUCCCUCACUAUAUCACACAUACAACUGCUGUGCACGCAAGCGCACACACACGCGCUAUCAGUGCUGAGUCUAGGAGGCUGGAGGGCAGACGGAGAACAAGAAGAACGGAGUGGAGAAAGAGGAGGCAUAAAAGACAGAGUGAGAGAUAAGAGGUCAGUGUUUUCUCCCAACACCCAUCCAUGACUUAAUCUGAUUCCUCUCUGAGAGAGAAACAUGACUUCCCGGGGACUGGCUUACUGCAGGAGGACAGGAUGGAGGGACUGGCUUACUGCAGGAGGACAGGAUGGAGGGACUGGCUUACUGCAGGAGAACAUGAUGGAGGGACUGGCUUACUGCAGGAGGACAGGAUGGAGGGACUGGCUUACUGCAGGAGAACAUGAUGGAGGGACUGGCUUACUGCAGGAGGACAGGAUGGAGGGACUGGCUUACUGCAGGAGAACAUGAUGGAGGGACUGGCUUACUGCAGGAGGACAGGAUGGAGGGACUGGCUUACUGCAGGAUGACAGGAUGGAGGGACUAGCUUACUGCAGGAGGACAGGAUGGAGGGACUGGCUUACUGCAGGAGGACAGGAUGGAGGGACUGGCUUACUGCAAGAGGACAGGAUGGAGGGACUGGCUUACUGCAGGAGGACAGGAUGGAGGGACU